UACGAAGGUCCCAAGCGUUAUCCGGAUUUAUUGGGUUUAAAGGGUGCGUAGGCGGGUUAUUAAGUCAGUGGUGAAAGCCUGCAGCUUAACUGCAGAAUUGCCAUUGAUACUGAUGAUCUUGAGUAUGAUUGAGGUGGGCGGAAUGUGUCAUGUAGCGGUGAAAUGCUUAGAUAUGACACAGAACACCGAUUGCGAAGCAGCUCACUAAGUCAUAACUGACGCUGAUGCACGAAAGCGUAGG
rnacentral:rRNA from 1 species